GUGAGGGACGCGUCCCCGUAUCUGCAGUGCUGCACUGCCAUCUAGUAUGGGCUCUCUCUAUGCACUUAAAUGUAUAUGCAUGCAAAGGUAUAUGUAUAUAUGUACACAAAUUCAUGUGUGUAUGUGAAUGUAUAAUAUGGAAUAUGACUUAAUGUUAUGCAAAGUAUAAUAUGGACACAUAACAUUGGCAGCAGACUUUCUCAGUGGAGGAAGCAGUGGGCACUGGUAACUACUCGAGUAGCUCAAGUUACAAUUCCGUCUAACUGUAGUGCUUUUGCUCUACUGUAGAGGAAGAAAAAUCUAUAAAAGAGAAGUUUUUGAAUCAAAUGGAAAAGCUGCCAGUGCACGUCUUAUGCAGGGCAGUGAACAGUCCCUUAAUGUCUCCUUGUUAACCGUCUACUUCCACGAACGAUCACAGAAUGUUUGUUAAAAAUUGGACAGAAUGCCCCAUGCUCUGGCCCAGUUUAUUAUGCAGGACCAUCUCGAGCCGGACCAGCUUCCUGUGCCUUUGCCUUGUCCUCAUUUGGGCCGAGAAAGUCAGUGACAUCUGGAAUGAGGAGGAGCCAGGGAUUACUUUUAAAAAAAGCCUCUUUUUUUUGUUCCUGGUUAAUUAAACAUGAUCUUAUACCCUCCAUUGCUUGUGGAAAAUAAUCAGAAACUCCAAGAAGAAACUAAAAAUCAUCUAUAAUCACAAUCCAGUGAAGAUCACUGUGAACAUUUAGGUGAGUCAUUUAUUUGUGGUACAGAUAUAUUCAAGGUUUUUCUUUUUUGCUUUUUGGAUCCAUCUGUUUCAGAGUUGGAGUGCACUGUUCACAUUGAAUUGCAA
rnacentral:lncRNA from 1 species